UGGGGAAUUUUGGACAAUGGGCGAAAGCCUGAUCCAGCAAUGCCGCGUGUGUGAAGAAGGCCUUCGGGUUGUAAAGCACUUUUGUCCGGAAAGAAAUCCUUGGCUCUAAUACAGUCGGGGGAUGACGGUACCGGAAGAAUAAGCACCGGCUAACUACGUGCCAGCAGCCGCGGUAAUACGUAGGGUGCAAGCGUUAAUCGGAAUUACUGGGCGUAAAGCGUGCGCAGGCGGUUUGCUAAGACCGAUGUGAAAUCCCCGGGCUCAACCUGGGAACUGCAUUGGUGACUGGCAGGCUAGAGUAUGGCAGAGGGGGGUAGAAUUCCACGUGUAGCAGUGAAAUGCGUAGAGAUGUGGAGGAAUACCGAUGGCGAAGGCAGCCCCCUGGGCCAAUACUGACGCUCAUGCACGAAAGCGUGGGGAGCAAACAGGAUUAGAUACCCUGGUAGUCCACGCCCUAAACGAUGUCAACUAGUUGUUGGGGAUUCAUUUCCUUAGUAACGUAGCUAACGCGUGAAGUUGACCGCCUGGGGAGUACGGUCGCAAGAUUAAACUCAAGGAAUUGACGGGGUCAUAGCUGUUUCCU
rnacentral:rRNA from 1 species